rnacentral:rRNA from 1 species
UACGUAGGUGGCAAGCGUUGUCCGGAAUUAUUGGGCGUAAAGCGCGCGCAGGUGGUUUCUUAAGUCUGAUGUGAAAGCCCACGGCUCAACCGUGGAGGGUCAUUGGAAACUGGGGAACUUGAGUGCAGGAGAGAAGAGUGGAAUUCCACGUGUAGCGGUGAAAUGCGUAGAGAUGUGGAGGAACACCAGUGGCGAAGGCGGUCUGCUGGGCAGUUGCUGACACUGAGGCGCGACAGCGUGGGGAGCAAACAGG